UUAUAGUGCUGUGAGUUUAACACUUCAUGACUGAGAGCUGCUACAGCAACUUCUUCACCCACAGCAGCCAUGACUUUAAUCCCCAUCCUCAUCUGGACACUGAUCUUCUGGACUCAAGAGUCCACAGGUCAGGUGACUGUAACUCAGACUCCUGCAGUGAAAUCUGCUCUUCCAGGAGACACAGUCACCAUCAGCUGUAGGAUCAGCCAGGCAGUGUACCAUGACUCAAAAGGCCAUCACUUAUACUGGUAUUGGCUGAAACCUGGAGAAACUCAUAAAUCCCUCAUUGAAUUUGUGAAUCAGGUUAAGUCUGGUUUUCCCGCUCGUUUCCAUGGCAGCGGCUCUGCAACAGCCUUCACUCUGACCAUCAGUGGAGUCCAGCCUGAAGAUACAGGAGAUUAUUACUGUCAGAGUUACCAUGGAGGCACCGUGAUCACACAGUGAUACAGAGCCGUACAAAAACCUCCCUCAGUCUGAUGUACAGAGGCUGCACUGCUGCAGUGGGACCUACUGCAGGUGCUGAAACAGCACAAUC